rnacentral:rRNA from 1 species
AACGAACGCUGGCGGCAUGCCUAACACAUGCAAGUCGAACGAGACCUCCGGGUCUUUGGGCGCACGGUGUCGUAACGCGUGGGGACCUGCCCUUAUGUUCGGAAUAACUCCCCGAAAGGGGUGCUAAUACGGGAUCAGAUCUUCGGACCCAAGAUUUAUUGACUUUGGAGGUGCCCGAGUUGGAUUAGGUAGUGGUUAGGGUAAAAGCAGACCACGGCGACGAUCCAUAGCUGGUCACGGAGGAUGGUCAGCCACUCUGGGACUGAGACGCGGCCCAGACUCCUACGCGAUGCAGCAGUGGGGAAUAGUGCACAAUGGGCGAAAUCCUGAUCCAGCAAUGCCGCGUGAGUGAUGAAGGUAUUAGGGUUGUAAAGCUCUUUUACCCGGGAUGAUCAUGACAGUACCGGGAGAAUAAGCCCCGGCUAACUCCGUG